ACGGAGGGUGCAAGCGUUGUCCGGAAUCACUGGGCGUAAAGGGCGCGUAGGCGGCUCGGUAAGUAGGGGGUGAAAUCCUGCGGCUUAACCGCAGGGCUGCCUUCUAAACUGUCGAGCUUGAGCACGGUAGAGGCAGAUGGAAUUCCCGGUGUAGCGGUGGAAUGCGUAGAGAUCGGGAAGAACAUCAGUGGCGAAGGCGGUCUGCUGGGCCGUUGCUGACGCUGAGGCGCGACAGCGUGGGGAGCAAACAGGA
rnacentral:rRNA from 1 species